CGUCACUAAUUCCCGCCCGGGGCUCCGGUGUCGGCAUCAUAUCCUCUGCGUAGCAAACCGACGAUCUGAGGGAGAUGGGAGGUUGCUUCGUCGCAUUUCGGUUCAUUUCUUCUUUGAGGAUCCUAUACCAGCUAUACAUUCGUGUCGGGAAGAAUAUUAAGACGGGAGAUUUAUGGUUCUGCAUUGGAAGAAGUUUCUUUUGUUUAUUGAAAUGGAAUUGAAAAGUUUUAUUUCUUCUUCCUUUUUGCAGGGUGAGGGGAGUGUAGCUUAUUCAAAAUGUCAAAGGCUUUUUGAUUCGAUUGGCAGCCUUAGAAAUGUGGGGUAAAUAAAACGUCAUUAUGGUGAAAAAGAAAAGAUCAAAGGCCUUGGAAUGAAGGUUAAUUUCUAUUA